rnacentral:ncRNA from 1 species
UCAUAUUCUGCUCCCGCUUAACCAAGACCUAUGGGAGGAUAAAUUACGUCUUUUUACCUGCAAGUGAGGGAUUUGCAGGAAUAAGUUUCGCU